rnacentral:rRNA from 1 species
GUGCAUGCGGCGCUAUAAUGCAGUCGACGCGUCUCCGUUGAUGAUUUCAGGUGCUUGCACCUGAAAGAUUUAACAUUGAGACGAGUGGCGAACUGGUGAGUAACACGUGGGUAACCUGCCCUUGAAGUAGGGGAUAACACUUGGAAACAGGUGCUAAUACCGUAUAACAACCAAAACCACCUGGUUUUGGUUUAAAAGACGGCUUCGGCUGUCACUUUAGGAUGGACCCGCGGCGUAUUAGCUUGUUGGUAAGGUAACGGCUUACCAAGGCGAUGAUACGUAGCCGACCUGAGAGGGUAAUCGGCCACAUUGGGACUGAGACACGGCCCAAACUCCUACGGGAGGCAGCAGUAGGGAAUCUUCCACAAUGGACGAAAGUCUGAUGGAGCAACGCCGCGUGAGUGAUGAAGGGUUUCGGCUCGUAAAACUCUGUUGUUGGAGAAGAACAGGUGUCAGAGUAACUGUUGACAUCUUGACGGUAUCCAACCAGAAAGCCACGGCUAACUACGUGCCAGCAGCCGCGGUAAUACGUAGGUGGCAAGCGUUGUCCGGAUUUAUUGGGCGUAAAGCGAGCGCAGGCGGUUUUUUAGGUCUGAUGUGAAAGCCUUCGGCUUAACCGGAGAAGUGCAUCGGAAACCGGGAGGCUUGAGUGCAGAAGAGGACAGUGGAACUCCAUGUGUAGCGGUGAAAUGCGUAGAUAUAUGGAAGAACACCAGUGGCGAAGGCGGCUGUCUGGUCUGUAACUGACGCUGAGGCUCGAAAGCAUGGGUAGCGAACAGGAUUAGAUACCCUGGUAGUCCAUGCCGUAAACGAUGAGUGCUAAGUGUUGGAGGGUUUCCGCCCUUCAGUGCUGCAGCUAACGCAUUAAGCACUCCGCCUGGGGAGUACGACCGCAAGGUUGAAACUCAAAGGAAUUGACGGGGGCCCG